rnacentral:rRNA from 1 species
GACGAACCGUCCUAACGUUAUUCGGAAUCACUGGGCUUAAAGGGCGCGUAGGCGGAUGAGCAAGUCCGGAGUGAAAUCCUCCGGCUCAACCGGAGAACUGCCAUGGAUACUGGGUGUCUCGAGGGUGGUAGGGGUAUGCGGAACUAUCGGUGGAGCGGUGAAAUGCGUUGAUAUCGAUAGGAACUCCGGUGGCGAAGGCGGCAUACUGGACCACUUCUGACGCUGAGGCGCGAAAGCCAGGGGAGCAAACGGG